rnacentral:rRNA from 1 species
CUUUCUUUGCUGGCGACCGGCGCACAGGUGAGUAACACGUAUCCAACCUGCCCUUUACUCGGGGAUAGCCUUUCGAAAGAAAGAUUAAUACCCGAUAGCAUAAUGAUUCCGCAUGGUUUCAUUAUUAAAGGAUUCCGGUAAAGGAUGGGGAUGCGUUCCAUUAGGUUGUUGGUGAGGUAACGGCCCACCAAGCCUUCGAUGGAUAGGGGUUCUGAGAGGAAGGUCCCCCACAUUGGAACUGAGACACGGUCCAA